GACGGGGAAACUUCGCAGGCAGGCUAAAGGGCUCCCCGGUUUAAAAGUGAGCAGGGCUCUCCAUGUAUGGGACUGUGGUCCUGAUUCGAAGCCACGGCGCCAGGGCCGUAUAUGGAGAGCCUGUGAUUUGUAAGACACCCUCGUGGCACAGCAAACUACAACUGCAUACAGGAUCCCGGUUGGAAAGCCCUUAUCGAGGAGCGCAACUGUAUAGCCAUAUAGGAACGACAACACGAAGGAAAGAAGGGUCUGUUGCCCAGCUGCUGCCACUCCACAGUCUGCCCCAGCAGGUGAUGUCUCUGGGAUAGGCUACCCUCCAUCACUGGCGUAAUGCUGUUUCUCUGGACCCCCACAAGAGUUCCCACCAUAAAUCCAGAGAAUGCCAGACUUUGAUGCCAAAGUUUGAUGCCAAAAUUUGCCCACAAAGACCCGCCGCACCACCUUCACAAGAUGAGGUCACUGCCAACAUGACCCUGGUGGAGGAGAGCCUGACGGCCGAGUUUGUCCAGGACCUCUUCAUGACCCUUCAGCCUGUGAAGGUGGCCCACACACUGCCUUCCUAGAGUUCAGCUACUCCACAGACUUGCUGCCUCUGCUCGUUGACCAGGUACUCUCUCUCUCUCUCUCUCCAGUUCUCUCUCUCUCUCUCCAGUUCUCUUGAUUGGUUGCAGGACACAGACCUGAUGAAGAUCACCACUCAGGCAGCAAAGCACAGCAGCCUCAAUCACAAGGUGGCAUACACACACACACACAGCACUUAAGAAGAUCCUAAGAGGGGAACAGCCAAUAUAUAUCAUACUAUUAUUACUCAUAUCAAAUAAAUCUAAUGAAUUUAAUAGAGUAAUAGUCUCUCAUCCAUU